rnacentral:rRNA from 1 species
GGGAUAAAGGCUUCGGGAAUGUGGCUCCCUCGGGAGUGUUAUAGCCCGUUGCGUAAUACCCUGCGGUGGACUGAGGUUCGCGUUCUGCAAGGAUGCUGGCGUAAUGGUCAUCAGCGA